CUUCCAGGCUGUGGCAGUGCUGCUCCGUAGCUUGUUCAGUGUCUCUUCUGGAGCAUCUGCUCACCACUCACACGAAAUGCUAACAUACUCCAGCACGAACACCAUGUGGCCUCAGAUUCCUCAUCAGGAAACAUUAAAGGCUAAAGGUCACUGGGUAUACAGGAAGUUUAAAGCAGCCGCUUUAACCUCUGAAUCUUUAGUCUCUACUGAAGUCAGAGUAAUGGCACUUUAAAGGUAUGUUUAAACACGUAUUCUUAUGUAUGUCCUUUG